rnacentral:rRNA from 1 species
UGAGGAAUAUUGGUCAAUGGGCGGAAGCCUGAACCAGCCAAGUCGCGUGAGGGAAGACGGCCCUAAGGGUUGUAAACCUCUUUUGCCGGGGAGCAAAAGCGCCGUGCGCGGUGCUAUGAGAGUACCCGGAGAAAAAGCAUCGGCUAACUCCGUGCCAGCAGCCGCGGUAAUACGGAGGAUGCGAGCGUUAUCCGGAUUUAUUGGGUUUAAAGGGUGCGUAGGCGGACAGUUAAGUCAGCGGUCAAAACGGGCGGCUCAACCGCCUGCCGCCGUUGAAACUGGCAGUCUAGAGUGGGCGAGAAGUACGCGGAAUGCGCGGUGUAGCGGUGAAAUGCUUAGAUAUCACGAAGAACCCCGAUUGCGAAGGCAGCCUACCGUAGCGGCACUGACGCUGAGGCUCGAAAGCGUGGGUAUCGAACAGGAUUAGAUACCCUGGUAGU